AUACAUGUGAGCUCCACGAGGGGGUAAAAAUGGUGAAACGUGGCCAUCUCUACAUCACACUGUUUUUGUAAACAUCUUCUCUGUUUUCAUCGAGAGAGAGAGCAGCAGUUCAUUGUUUUUACUCUCCCAAAAUCAGAAGCUGAAGAUCUUGAAAUGAAUGGAGGUGGUUGCUGCCGGAAGAGUUAGGGCAUGUUCUUGAAUACCGAAUUAGUGGAAGUAUUGACGAUUCAUGGAUGAAAAUGAUGGGGUAUUGGUUGUUCUAGUGGCUGAUAACUUUGGUGAAUCUGUGGGGUUCGUGUGCGAUCUGAAAUUGGAGAUUUUGAGUGAAAAAUACACACAGCAACAUCGAACGAGGAACUGGCAGCGAGAGCAAUUGGGUCUGUGUGGUGCUGAAUCAAUGAAUCUGUGGGAAGUUCUUGGCAUGACUGAAAUUGGGUAUCUUUUGAAGACGAUCUGUGGUGUUUCGGUGUUGAGAUUCAGAUGUGGAUAAAAACCUGAUUCUGGCGACAACUCUCCCGUCCGGAUCAUCCGAUUUAAGAAGAUCAUACCGAGAUAUUUAAAUGGAACAUGUGUCACCGUUGUCAAUGAUGAUGAUCUGACCACCUCCCUUCCUUCGAGUCCGAGCACACCUACCGUUGCAGAUCUGGAAAAUGCUGAUUUGGGUAUCUCUUGCCAUGAAUAUCCCAAUGCAGGUUUGUCAUUCGAAAUCCGUAUGAAGUGUUUAUCUUCUAGCUACCGAAAUGUUGGUAGGUUCCUAGUGCGAAAGGAAUUCGUAACUCUGUACACGAAAAUAUGGAGAAGAUAUGGCCAUAUUGCCACCAGGAACGUGGUGCAGCAUUGCUCGUCUUCCUUGGUUACCACAGUGAACUAUCUCCUGCCCAUGAUUGUUGAAAUGGAAGGCACAUCUAUCUGCGACGUCGUGGAAUCAACUAUUGAAAAGUGGGAAAACAUGGUGCCUACCUGUGAAUCCCUUGAGUUUAACGUAAGUUGGCUGCGAAAUCUCCUUGACAUUGUGAAGGUUGAUAGAGUCGGUAUCCUUUCCAACGUCGUUCCUGCCACAAAAUCCAUUUUGGAAGAGGAGAAGGCUCUGACCGUGGAAUCCCAAAAGGUGGAAAAGGCAAUCCAAGACUUGAAGAGUAGGACUGAAAGAUAUCAAAAAAGGUUGAAGAUGAUGCUUUCAAGGAACUACAAUCUAUCAUAUGGGCUUUUCUGAGUUAUGUAGUUGUGAGACAUCUGGUUUUCCUUUUGGGUCUCGAAUGUAUUAUCUUUUUUUUUGUAUUGGUUUUGGAGAAAUAAGAGAAUUUUCAUUAAUAUGCUUCGAUUAAAUGAAAUUU